GAUGAACGCUGGCGGCGUGCCUAAUACAUGCAAGUCGAGCGAACAGACGAGGAGCUUGCUCCUUCGACGUUAGCGGCGGACGGGUGAGUAACACGUAGGUAACCUACCUAUAAGACUGGGAUAACUUCGGGAAACCGGAGCUAAUACCGGAUAAUAUUUCGAGCCGCAUGGUUCGAUAGUGAAAGAUGGCUUUGCUAUCACUUAUAGAUGGACCUGCGCCGUAUUAGCUAGUUGGUAAGGUAACGGCUUACCAAGGCAACGAUACGUAGCCGACCUGAGAGGGUGAUCGGCCACACUGGAACUGAGACACGGUCCAGACUCCUACGGGAGGCAGCAGUAGGGAAUCUUCCGCAAUGGGCGAAAGCCUGACGGAGCAACGCCGCGUGAGUGAUGAAGGUCUUCGGAUCGUAAAACUCUGUUACUAGGGAAGAACAAACGUGUAAGUAACUGUGCACGUCUUGACGGUACCUAAUCAGAAAGCCACGGCUAACUACGUG
rnacentral:rRNA from 1 species